rnacentral:rRNA from 1 species
UACGGAGGGGACUAGCGUUGUUCGGAAUUACUGGGCGUAAAGAGCUCGUAGGCGGCUUGUCGCGUCGACUGUGAAAUCCCGCGGCUCAACUGCGGGUCUGCAGUCGAUACGGGCAGGCUAGAGUUCGGUAGGGGAGACUGGAAUUCCUGGUGUAGCGGUGAAAUGCGCAGAUAUCAGGAGGAACACCGGUGGCGAAGGCGGGUCUCUGGGCCGUAACUGACGCUGAGGAGCGAAAGCAUGGGGGAGCGAACAGG